UUUAGAGAAGGGCAAGAAAAUAAGGGUAGAGGAAGAAGGAGAGAGGGCUCAAGUUGCAGGGUGGAUCGGGAAGACGUAACGAAAACCAGCAAAUACUCGUCGUUUCGUCGUUCGAAUCCAUUGUUGCAGUUGCAGAGGACCUCGUAGGAGAGCUCCUGUAAAUAUAAUAAGAGAGAUUCAUACAAGGCAAAGGCAAAGGCAAAGAGAUGAUAACGCGAUCGAAUCUGGCGGAGCAGUUGAGAGAGUAUCAGAUUCGAUCGAAGCAUGACUGGGCCUCCGUCUCCUUCUUCUCCUCCACCUCCUCCAAUCAUACUUUGUCAAGGGUGGAUGUAGUGCUCUUUGUAAUAUGGGAACUGGUAAUCCUAGCUUUCUUGGUUUUUUCGGCAGUUUCUUUAUAUUUUAGGCAUAUGCGACUUGCUUUUGUCUUAGCAUGUAUUGCAAUGCUCUUGCUUUUGUGCAUAAAAGUUACAAAGCAAGUGAGAUUGGCUAGGAAAAAGAAACGGAGGAUGCUUCUUCCAUUAUCGAUGUAAUACUAGAUGAGGGGCACGCACUACCCAACCUUAUCAUGUAAAUCUUGAAAAGUCUUGGCCGUUGCAUUUGGCCUGUAUCCUCUUUUUUGGUGUAUUGGGAUGUGUAAUCAUUGCCUUCGAAGAUUAGGUAAAAAACUGAUGUGAUUACUGUGGAAGAUGCUCAUCAGAGUGGCAAGUUGAUCGAUCAAGAUACGAAGAUUUGGUUAGUGAGGGGAGGAAAGGCUGUGGUUAUAGGACCAGGACAAAGUGAAAGAGGCAUCGGUUGAUAGUUAAGGUCGAGAGCGGGAGGCUCCUUGGUGGUGGUGUUGCCUCGGUUACUUAUUCAGAGGCUUGAAGAAGUGGACUUCUAUUCCGAUCGUGACUAUGUUCCAAAUUGCUCCGGUGAUGAUUAAUAUGCUUAGGACUAUCCCCAAGGCUCCGAGUGCCCAGUUAAAAAUUGUGCUACAUUUACAAGGUUUCUUGAUCAAUAUCCACAUGAAACACGGAUACGCCAAGGUGAUUGGAACCGCAACUCCUCCGAUGAGUCCUGCUAAGCUGGGCAAGAAUGGCAGUGCAACAGAUAUAAAAAAUGCAACGCAGCCGAAGAAAAUCCUAAUUCCGGAGCGUAGCCACCGCGGACAAGGUUUGUUCACGCUGCUAGUGAAUCUGAAUUCCAGAUUGUCGAAAACCGGCAUUGCAUAUAUCUGAAAGGAGCUUAGACAGUUAACCACAACGAGCAUGCUCGUCAAUCCUAGGACAAAUUUUGAUGUGUCGUGUCCGUGGUAUUUGUUCAAAGCAUCUAACAUCCCUCCACUUGAAGGUAUCUGCCAUAGAUACAAUCGCAAUACAUUUCUCUA